GAUGAACGCUGGCGGCGUGCCUAAUACAUGCAAGUCGAGCGAACGGACGAGAAGCUUGCUUCUCUGAUGUUAGCGGCGGACGGGUGAGUAACACGUGGAUAACCUACCUAUAAGACUGGGAUAACUUCGGGAAACCGGAGCUAAUACCGGAUGAUAUUUUGAACCGCAUGGUUCAAAAGUGAAAGACGGUCUUGCUGUCACUUAUAGAUGGAUCCGCGCUGCAUUAGCUAGUUGGUAAGGUAACGGCUUACCAAGGCAACGAUGCAUAGCCGACCUGAGAGGGUGAUCGGCCACACUGGAACUGAGACACGGUCCAGACUCCUACGGGAGGCUGCAGUAGGGAAUCUUCCGCAAUGGGCGAAAGCCUGACGGAGCAACGCCGCGUGAGUGAUGAAGGUCUUCGGAUCGUAAAACUCUGUUAUUAGGGAAGAACAUAUGUGUAAGUAACUGUGCACAUCUUGACGGUACCUAAUCAGAAAGCCACGGCUAACUACGUG
rnacentral:rRNA from 1 species